AAAACAAAAGCCACAGCCACCCGACUUCCAGCAUGGCAUUGUCACCAGCCCCCUUUGCAUGGUGAUGCGAUUAAGGUAGCAGCAUUUUUAUUAUACAGGAAAAGCAGCUGGGGGAUUCAUCAGUUCUGAGGCUUUGUCUUUCCUGGACUAACUGAUGGUCCUGAGCCUCGGUUUGACCUGACCAUGAUGCCCAGGACUGGCACUUUUUGUCUUUUCUCAGCAAACUAUACAACCCCAAAUCUCUUUUUGAUUUUCAAGGAAACUAGAUUCCUGCCAGAUUUUGAAUCUGGACAAUAAAUAGAUACUUUGUCCUAGCUUCUUUCUGGAAUCAUUUCGGAAUAUUUUCCACAAGCAUCACAGAAACAGGAAUGAACCGGCAGCUAGUGAACAUUUUGACAGCCUUGUUUGCAUUUUUCUUAGAGACAAACCACUUCAGGGAGGCUUUCUGCAAAGACCAUGACUCCAGGUCUGGAAAACAACCUUCACAGACCCUAUCUCCUUCAGAUUUCUUGGACAAACUAAUGGGAAGGACAUCAGGAUAUGAUGCAAGAAUCAGGCCAAACUUUAAAGGUCCUCCAGUAAACGUUACUUGCAAUAUUUUUAUCAACAGUUUUGGAUCAGUCACAGAAACUACCAUGGACUACCGUGUGAACAUUUUUCUGAGACAACAGUGGAAUGAUUCACGAUUGGCAUACAGUGAGUACCCAGAUGAUUCCCUGGACUUGGACCCAUCUAUGCUAGAUUCCAUUUGGAAACCAGAUUUAUUUUUUGCUAAUGAGAAAGGUGCCAACUUCCAUGAUGUCACCACCGAUAACAAAUUGCUGCGGAUUUCCAAAAAUGGCAAAGUACUCUACAGUAUCAGACUCACCUUGACCUUAUCCUGUCCCAUGGACUUGAAGAACUUUCCAAUGGAUGUCCAGACCUGUACAAUGCAGCUGGAAAGCUUUGGGUACACAAUGAAUGACCUGAUAUUUGAGUGGUUGAGUGAUGGUCCAGUACAAGUUGCUGAAGGACUGACACUGCCUCAGUUUAUCUUGAAAGAAGAGAAGGAACUGGGCUAUUGCACAAAACACUAUAACACUGGAAAGUUUACCUGCAUUGAGGUCAAAUUUCACCUGGAACGCCAGAUGGGAUAUUAUUUGAUCCAGAUGUACAUCCCUAGCCUGUUGAUUGUCAUUUUGUCCUGGGUUUCCUUUUGGAUAAACAUGGAUGCAGCACCUGCCAGGGUUGCUCUGGGCAUCACCACCGUCUUAACGAUGACCACCCAGAGUUCAGGUUCUAGGGCGUCUCUGCCAAAGGUCUCCAACGCAAAGCUAUUGAUAUCUGGAUGGCAGUGUGCCUUCUGUUUGUGUUUGCUGCCUUACUGGAAUAUGCAGCAGUGAACUUUGUCUCAAGGCAACACAAGGAGUUCCUGCGCCUCCGAAGACGACAGAAGAGGCAGAAUAAGGAAGAAGAUGGCACACGUGAAAGUCGUUUUAAUUUCAGUGGUUAUGGAAUGGGUCACUGCCUCCAAGUGAAAGACGGAACAGCUGUCAAGGCUACACCUGCCAACCCGCUUCCACAACCCCCAAAAGAUGCAGAUGCCAUCAAGAAGAAGUUUGUGGACCGGGCAAAAAGGAUUGACACAAUAUCUCGAGCUGCCUUCCCAUUGGCCUUCCUCAUUUUCAACAUCUUUUACUGGAUCACCUACAAGAUCAUACGGCAUGAAGAUGUCCACAAGAAAUAGAUGUGCCCUACAGACCCUGGGAACCUUCUUGCCUAAGUGUUGUGCUUGUAAAUACACAGUAAAUUUGUCUUUAUAUCACUUUGACAGAGGAGAAGAUUGAGGGAGGGGGGAG